rnacentral:rRNA from 1 species
GGGUUGUGAGGUUAAGCGACUAAGCGUACACGGUGGAUGCCCUGGCAGUCAGAGGCGAUGAAGGACGUGCUAAUCUGCGAUAAGCGUCGGUAAGGUGAUAUGAACCGUUAUAACCGGCGAUUUCCGAAUGGGGAAACCCAGUGUGUUUCGACACACUAUCAUUAACUGAAUCCAUAGGUUAAUGAGGCGAACCGGGGGAACUGAAACAUCUAAGUACCCCGAGGAAAAGAAAUCAACCGAGAUUCCCCCAGUAGCGGCGAGCGAACGGGGAGCAGCCCAGAGCCUGAAUCAGUGUGUGUGUUAGUGGAAGCGUCUGGAAAGGCGCGCGAUACAGGGUGACAGCCCCGUACACAAAAAUGCACAUGCUGUGAGCUCGAUGAGUAGGGCGGGACACGUGGUAUCCUGUCUGAAUAUGGGGGGACCAUCCUCCAAGGCUAAAUACUCCUGACUGACCGAUAGUGAACCAGUACCGUGAGGGAAAGGCGAAAAGAACCCCGGCGAGGGGAGUGAAAAAGAACCUGAAACCGUGUACGUACAAGCAGUGGGAGCACGCUUCGGCGUGUGACUGCGUACCUUUUGUAUAAUGGGUCAGCGACUUAUAUUCUGUAGCAAGGUUAACCGAAUAGGGGAGCCGAAGGGAAACCGAGUCUUAACUGGGCGUUAAGUUGCAGGGUAUAGACCCGAAACCCGGUGAUCUAGCCAUGGGCAGGUUGAAGGUUGGGUAACACUAACUGGAGGACCGAACCGACUAAUGUUGAAAAAUUAGCGGAUGACUUGUGGCUGGGGGUGAAAGGCCAAUCAAACCGGGAGAUAGCUGGUUCUCCCCGAAAGCUAUUUAGGUAGCGCCUCGUGAAUUCAUCUCCGGGGGUAGAGCACUGUUUCGGCAAGGGGGUCAUCCCGACUUACCAACCCGAUGCAAACUGCGAAUACCGGAGAAUGUUAUCACGGGAGACACACGGCGGGUGCUAACGUCCGUCGUGAAGAGGGAAACAACCCAGACCGCCAGCUAAGGUCCCAAAGUCAUGGUUAAGUGGGAAACGAUGUGGGAAGGCCCAGACAGCCAGGAUGUUGGCUUAGAAGCAGCCAUCAUUUAAAGAAAGCGUAAUAGCUCACUGGUCGAGUCGGCCUGCGCGGAAGAUGUAACGGGGCUAAACCAUGCACCGAAGCUGCGGCAGCGACACUGUGUGUUGUUGGGUAGGGGAGCGUUCUGUAAGCCUGUGAAGGUGUACUGUGAGGUAUGCUGGAGGUAUCAGAAGUGCGAAUGCUGACAUAAGUAACGAUAAAGCGGGUGAAAAGCCCGCUCGCCGGAAGACCAAGGGUUCCUGUCCAACGUUAAUCGGGGCAGGGUGAGUCGACCCCUAAGGCGAGGCCGAAAGGCGUAGUCGAUGGGAAACAGGUUAAUAUUCCUGUACUUGGUGUUACUGCGAAGGGGGGACGGAGAAGGCUAUGUUGGCCGGGCGACGGUUGUCCCGGUUUAAGCGUGUAGGCUGGUUUUCCAGGCAAAUCCGGAAAAUCAAGGCUGAGGCGUGAUGACGAGGCACUACGGUGCUGAAGCAACAAAUGCCCUGCUUCCAGGAAAAGCCUCUAAGCAUCAGGUAACAUCAAAUCGUACCCCAAACCGACACAGGUGGUCAGGUAGAGAAUACCAAGGCGCUUGAGAGAACUCGGGUGAAGGAACUAGGCAAAAUGGUGCCGUAACUUCGGGAGAAGGCACGCUGAUAUGUAGGUGAAGUCCCUCGCGGAUGGAGCUGAAAUCAGUCGAAGAUACCAGCUGGCUGCAACUGUUUAUUAAAAACACAGCACUGUGCAAACACGAAAGUGGACGUAUACGGUGUGACGCCUGCCCGGUGCCGGAAGGUUAAUUGAUGGGGUCAGCGCAAGCGAAGCUCUUGAUCGAAGCCCCGGUAAACGGCGGCCGUAACUAUAACGGUCCUAAGGUAGCGAAAUUCCUUGUCGGGUAAGUUCCGACCUGCACGAAUGGCGUAAUGAUGGCCAGGCUGUCUCCACCCGAGACUCAGUGAAAUUGAACUCGCUGUGAAGAUGCAGUGUACCCGCGGCAAGACGGAAAGACCCCGUGAACCUUUACUAUAGCUUGACACUGAACAUUGAGCCUUGAUGUGUAGGAUAGGUGGGAGGCUUAGAAGUGUGGACGCCAGUCUGCAUGGAGCCGACCUUGAAAUACCACCCUUUAAUGUUUGAUGUUCUAACGUGGACCCGUGAUCCGGGUUGCGGACAGUGUCUGGUGGGUAGUUUGACUGGGGCGGUCUCCUCCUAAAGAGUAACGGAGGAGCACGAAGGUUGGCUAAUCCUGGUCGGACAUCAGGAGGUUAGUGCAAUGGCAUAAGCCAGCUUGACUGCGAGCGUGACGGCGCGAGCAGGUGCGAAAGCAGGUCAUAGUGAUCCGGUGGUUCUGAAUGGAAGGGCCAUCGCUCAACGGAUAAAAGGUACUCCGGGGAUAACAGGCUGAUACCGCCCAAGAGUUCAUAUCGACGGCGGUGUUUGGCACCUCGAUGUCGGCUCAUCACAUCCUGGGGCUGAAGUAGGUCCCAAGGGUAUGGCUGUUCGCCAUUUAAAGUGGUACGCGAGCUGGGUUUAGAACGUCGUGAGACAGUUCGGUCCCUAUCUGCCGUGGGCGCUGGAGAACUGAGGGGGGCUGCUCCUAGUACGAGAGGACCGGAGUGGACGCAUCACUGGUGUUCGGGUUGUCAUGCCAAUGGCACUGCCCGGUAGCUAAAUGCGGAAGAGAUAAGUGCUGAAAGCAUCUAAGCACGAAACUUGCCCCGAGAUGAGUUCUCCCUGACUCCUUGAGAGUCCUGAAGGAACGUUGAAGACGACGACGUUGAUAGGCCGGGUGUGUAAGCGCAGCGAUGCGUUGAGCUAACCGGUACUAAUGAACCGUGAGGCUUAACCUUACAACGCCGAAGCUGUU